CGUCGCCGCGGUAAUACGGAGGGUGCAAGCGUUAAUCGGAAUUACUGGGCGUAAAGCGUGCGUAGGCGGUUCGUUAAGUCUGUUGUGAAAGCCCCGGGCUCAACCUGGGAAUGGCAAUGGAUACUGGCGAGCUAGAGUGUGUCAGAGGAUGGUGGAAUUCCCGGUGUAGCGGUGAAAUGCGUAGAGAUCGGGAGGAACAUCAGUGGCGAAGGCGGCCAUCUGGGACAACACUGACGCUGAGGCACGAAAGCGUGGGGAGCAAACAGGAUUAGAUACCCGCGUAGUCCCUGUCUCUUAUACC
rnacentral:rRNA from 1 species